UCUUACAACAAUGUCUUCAUCUGCUCAGACAAUCAGCAAGAAUCACUGCAAGUUCAUCAACAACCACCAAUAUCUCUGGAAUUGGAACUCAUCAAACCUCCAGUAACCUAGACCCAUUAACACUGGUAGCUCAUCCGAGAAACCACAUCUUGAAAUGGACUGAGAGUGAGCACGGUCAGGUUC